rnacentral:rRNA from 1 species
AUGAACGCUAGCGACAGGCUUAACACAUGCAAGUCGAGGGGCAGCACAGGUAGCAAUACCGGGUGGCGACCGGCGCACGGGUGAGUAACGCGUAUGCAACUUGCCUAUCAGAGGGGGAUAACCCGGCGAAAGUCGGACUAAUACCGCAUGAAGCAGGGGCCCCGCAUGGGGAUAUUUGCUAAAGAUUCAUCGCUGAUAGAUAGGCAUGCGUUCCAUUAGGCAGUUGGCGGGGUAACGGCCCACCAAACCGACGAUGGAUAGGGGUUCUGAGAGGAAGGUCCCCCACAUUGGUACUGAGACACGGACCAAACUCCUACGGGAGGCAGCAGUGAGGAAUAUUGGUCAAUGGCCGAGAGGCUGAACCAGCCAAGUCGCGUGAGGGAUGAAGGUUCUAUGGAUCGUAAACCUCUUUUAUAAGGGAAUAAAGUGCGGGACGUGUCCCGUUUUGUAUGUACCUUAUGAAUAAGGAUCGGCUAACUCCGUGCCAGCAGCCGCGGUAAUACGGAGGAUCCGAGCGUUAUCCGGAUUUAUUGGGUUUAAAGGGUGCGUAGGCGGCCUUUUAAGUCAGCGGUGAAAGUCUGUGGCUCAACCAUAGAAUUGCCGUUGAAACUGGGGGGCUUGAGUAUGUUUGAGGCAGGCGGAAUGCGUGGUGUAGCGGUGAAAUGCAUAGAUAUCACGCAGAACCCCGAUUGCGAAGGCAGCCUGCCAAGCCAUUACUGACGCUGAUGCACGAAAGCGUGGGGAUCAAACAGGAUUAGAUACCCUGGUAGUCCACGCAGUAAACGAUGAUCACUAGCUGUUUGCGAUACACUGUAAGCGGCACAGCGAAAGCGUUAAGUGAUCCACCUGGGGAGUACGCCGGCAACGGUGAAACUCAAAGGAAUUGACGGGGGCCCGCACAAGCGGAGGAACAUGUGGUUUAAUUCGAUGAUACGCGAGGAACCUUACCCGGGUUUGAACGUAGUCUGACCGGAGUGGAAACACUCCUUCUAGCAAUAGCAGAUUACGAGGUGCUGCAUGGUUGUCGUCAGCUCGUGCCGUGAGGUGUCGGCUUAAGUGCCAUAACGAGCGCAACCCUUGCCACUAGUUACUAACAGGUAAAGCUGAGGACUCUGGUGGGACUGCCAGCGUAAGCUGCGAGGAAGGCGGGGAUGACGUCAAAUCAGCACGGCCCUUACAUCCGGGGCGACACACGUGUUACAAUGGCGUGGACAAAGGGAAGCCACCUGGCGACAGGGAGCGAAUCCCCAAACCACGUCUCAGUUCGGAUCGGAGUCUGCAACCCGACUCCGUGAAGCUGGAUUCGCUAGUAAUCGCGCAUCAGCCAUGGCGCGGUGAAUACGUUCCCGGGCCUUGUACACACCGCCCGUCAAGCCAUGGGAGCCGGGGGUACCUGAAGUCCGUAACCGCGAGGAUCGGCCUAGGGUAAAACUGGUGACUGGGGCU